CAGCCACGUUCAACUCCACUGAGAGGGUCCUGCAGAGCCUGCUGGAUCCUUGUUCAAGAAGAGCAGCCUGGGCCCCUUCUCCUUGAGUGGCAGACUGGUCUCCCUCAGUGGCUCCAGGCUCUGCACCCUGGAGUUUAUGCAUGCAGAGAGAGCACCAGCUACAUUUCCGCAGGAUCAGCUGGAACCUCAGCAACCUGGAGCCCACAUCCUCGGAGUACACCGCCCUGCAGAGAGACACCCAGGACCAGGUCACCAAGCUCUACAGAGGCAGCCAGCUGUGAGACAUAUUCCACUCCUGCCUGGUCACCGACUUGAUAAUAUUCUCCCAACAGAGAUGACACCUUUAUUGUGAAACCUGGUAAGCCUGCAGGAAGCCCCAGCCCAGGGUAGGAGGCGAGUAUCUUGAUGU